CUUAGGUUAAUAGUACUCAGAUCAGAUAAAAGCAGUAGCUAUUUUUGUAUUCAAAUCUAUAAAAAUCUAAGCUUAGAUAAAGGGGUUCCAUUUUCUCUACAAACAUGCUUCCUUAUGAUAGAUCAGAUAUUUAUUUCCAAGAAAUAAUCUCUGGAAAUAGUAACCAUAAUUUAAGCAAACCAAUUUAAUUUAGAAGAGUGAUCACUCUAAUUAACUUUCUUAUACCCUUUAAUAUUGCACAGAAUUUUAGGCAACCAAUAGAGACACAGAACUAUUAAGUUCUAUGAACUU
rnacentral:lncRNA from 1 species